GGCAGGGACCCGGCAUCUCGCAGCGCCGAGAUCUACUCCAUGGGGCUGCGCCCGCGGAUGGCUCGGAACUGCUGUCCCUGCCGGAGCCCAGCGUCCCCUGGGGCCCCACGGGGGGGACCGGCCCCACUGGGGUCCUUGCGUGGGGCGCCGGGAGGGGGUGAAACCGAGCGGGGGGUCCCGGGGGGAGACCUGGGAAAGGGGCGGGUGGAAAGUGUGCUUGCAGCCUGGACAUGGUGGGGGGGAGGAAGAGCCGGAAGAGCUCCCGAGGAGCGGAGAGAGAAGGGGGAGCUGAGAUCCCCUCGGAUUUAUCGCUGCCCCCUCCCAUGGAGACCUCCCCCAUCCCCUUUCUCUCUAGGGAGCAGUGAGCAACAUCCAGGGUGACCCCCCACCCCCAAACCCCUUUGAAGUUCACUAUUCCCCUCCCCCGACUGUGCCCUAUUUUCUCUCCAUUUCACCAGUGUCCAGCUCUCAUUGUGGCUGGUGGGGGCUCUGGGGGGUAUCUGAGGUCCCUGGCCAGGGACUCUGGGGACUGGGUGCCAGGGAAGAUCUGGCGGGACCCUAACUGGGGUUGUGGGGGUGUCUGGAACCCCUGGCUGUGAGCUCUGGGCUCCAGGUACUGGGAGGAGUUUGGGGACUGCUACUAACCAUGAUCCUGCUCCCUGAUCAGCUUGUGCCAGAAUCCUGGCUCCAAGCACUGCCAGGCAGCCCCCAGCCAGACCCACUCACCCUGAUAACUUUCUAUCCACUUAUCAAACACCGUGAGGUGAAAUCACAGAUUUUUCUUUUCUCCCCCUUGAAAACUGCAGGAAUUUCCCGUCCCUGUAGGGAAUAUUCAUGCCCCAUCCCCUGAAGUCCUUAUCCUAGGUCUAGGGGGUGAGGGAGGUGAGAAAGGGGUCAGCACUGGCACACGAUGGUGUCUUACACAGCAUUCUGGACUCAUUCUUUCUGAAAUCUGGUUUCAUUGAGAACAUUGUUAAUCAGGCCACGUCUACACUACAGCAUAAAAUCGAAAUUAUUAAAACCGGUUUUAUAAAAUCGAUUUUACGCGUCCACACUAGGGCACAUUAAUUCGGUGGUGUGCAUCGAUGGUCCUAGGCUACCAUUGAUUUCCGGAGCGGUGCACUCUGGGUAGCACAGUAGAAGAAUGAGACCAAUAACUUCGAUUUCCAUCCACACUAACCCUAAAUCGAUAUAGUAAUAUCGAUUUUAGGGUUACUCCUCUCAUUGGGGAGGAGUACAGAAAUCAAUUUUAAGAGCCCUUAAAAUCGAUUUAAAGUGCCUUGUAGUGUGGACGGGUACAGCGUUAAAUCAAUUUAACGCUGUUUAAAUCGAUUUACCGCUGUAGUGUGGACCAGGCCUCAGAGUUGCUGCAUAGAAAGACAAGGAGUGACUCCAGAUGGACAGUGGGGCAAAUGAGAUCAGCAAUUCUCCCUGUGAGGAGGGUCUCUCAUUAGCUGCUCUCCCCAGAGAGUUAAAGGAGGGAAGCUGCUCAAACACUCUGUCCUUCUCUGCUCAGGAUAUUGAGAUUCAGCUUCCUGGGUCAGAUGCUGCAGCCUCCAUUGUAAUCUGGGAGACCAGGCUUAGCAGCUGCUGCUCCCCCAGCAGGAGUUCUGUGCUGGUAUGUGACCUUAAUUAAAGCUACUUCUCUGCCCAGCCCAGGUGAUGACCUUUUCCAGUUUGUACUAGCCCCUUGGGGCAGCUCUGGGCCUUGUUAAUACAAAUUCUACCACAGACUCCAGGUAACUGAAAAACCUCAGGGAAAGUGCUGGGGACUAGCAAGAAAGUGACUCUAUACAAACAGCUUCUCCUCCCAUUAGCAAUUGCCGAGAGAAAAUCCAGCCAUGAGAGAGCAAAGCCCCCAGGAAUGGGAAUUUCCCAGCGAGAGGAGCAGGGAGAGAGGACAGGGGAAGGAGAGACUGAAAGGGGCAGUGGGAGAAAUGAGUGGGGGGAGAGAUUUCCAGCUCUCUAGUCCACCAGACACAGGUAUUGCAGCAUCCCUGGGCAGAACCAGUUUCCAGUGAACAAGAAAAGGCUCAGACAGAGGAAAAGCCAGUUCCUGACUCCAUAUUCUCCCUACCUGGGGCCAGUGUCCAAGGGAAUCCCCCACAGUGGCUCCUUUGGUUCUGCUCUUUUCUAGCCUUGUGUUCAGAGACUUUGUUACGGGGUGAGAGGAGGGAGAAGAGAGUUUAAAAAUGUGUCUGUGGGCUUAGCCUGGCAGGAGGGGCCAGGUCUACACUGUAAUGAAGAGAUCAAGCAUGUUCCCAGCACGGCAGAGUCUAGGAUGUCUGUCUGGAGGGAAAGGGCCUGGGGAAAUCGUGAUGUGAAAUUAACUAAAACCUGUUCUGAAACCUCCACAACUGCCCUUUUCACCCUCCCAGGCUGCAGAAUGACGUCCAUGUUUCGCUCCAACUCAUCCCAUCCUCCCACGGGAGAGGGAAGAGAAAUGGCUCCAGAGGAGCCUGUUCAGAAGCCAGUGACCUUUGAGGAGGUGGCUGUGUAUUUCACCGGGGAAGAGUGGGCUCUGCUGGACCCUGCCCAGAGAGCUCUCUGCAGAGACAUUAUGCAGCAGAACCAUGAGAAUGUGACCUCACUGGGGGCCAAUGGCCUUUGAGGAGGUGGCUGUGUAUUUCAGCGAAGAAGAGUUGGCUCUGCUGGACCCCACUCAGAGAGCUCUCUACAGAGAUGUCAUGCAGGAGAACUAUGAGAAUGUGACCUUGCUGGAUAAGUAUUCUUGUCCUCUCGGUUAUUAGAAGGGGAAAGAAGAGUUGAGAUUCACAACACCCCACAAUGCGACCUCUACUCUGCCCUGUUUCUGCAACACUGCAACAGGCCAAUGGCACAUAUAUUAGGGGCUUGGCUACACUGGAGAGUUGCAGCGCUGGUGGUGGCUUUACAGUGCUGCAACUCACUCACCGUCCACACUUGCAAGGCACAUACAGCACUGUAUCUCCCUGGCUACAGCGCUGGCUGUACUCCAUCUCGGCCUGGGGAAUAACGACUGCAGCGCUGGUGAUGCAGCGCUGCUCCGCCAGUGUGGCCACCAAAAGCGCUGUUAUUGGCCUCCAGAGGUAUUUGGAGGUAUCCCAGAAUGCCUGUUCAGCCACUCUGCUCAUCAGUUAGAACUCUGCUGCCCUGGCCUCAGAUGACUCGCCCUUUAAAUGCCCCGGGAAUUUUAAAAUCCCCUUCCUGUUUGCUCAACCAGGUGUGGAGUGCAGUCAGUGAGUCUUUCCAGGUGACCAUGCCUCCACGCAUCAAAUGAGCCCCAGCAUGGAGCAAUGGCGAGUUGCUGGACCUCAUCAGUGUUUGGAGGGAGGAAGCUGUGCAGUCCCAGCUGCUUUCCAGCCGUAAGAAUUACGAUACCUUUGCGCAGGUAUCAAGUGCCAUACUGGAAAGGGGCCAUAACCCAGGCACGCUGCAGUGCAGGGUUAAAGUGAAGGAGCUGCGGAGUGCCUAUUGCAAAGCCCGCGAGGGAAACCGCCGCUCUGGCGCUGCUCCUACGACCUGCCAUUUUUACAAAGAGCUGGACGCGAUUCUUGGGGGUGACCCCACCGCCAAUCUAAGGACCACGAUGAACACUUCAGAGCAGGGGGCGGAGGAGGAGGAAGAAACUGAGAGUGAGGAUACUGGGGUAGGGGGAGACACAAUGGAGUCCUUGGAGGCAUGCAGCCAGGAGCUCUUCUCAAGCCAAGAGGAAGGUAGCCAGUUGCAGCAGCCGGUACUUGGUGGAGGACAAACAGAGGAGUGGGUUCCUGCAACCUUGAGUUCUCGGCUGCCCGUGUUAUCAACAGCUCAAGACUCCAAAACCUCCGGAAGAAGCCGCGAAAAAGCAAAGACGAUGUGCUGCAAGCAGUUAUGGAUCACUCUGCCAGAGAGAAUCAAAAAAUGCAGGACUGGAGGGAAAGGGAAAGCAGGAUCCGCCAGAAAACCACAGCGACCAGGAAGAAAAGCACAAAGCAGCUGAUAAGCAUCCUGGCACACCAAGCAGACUCUGUCCAGGUGCUUGUAGCCAUGCAGGCUGAUCAUUACUGCGCCACACCCCCUUCCCAAGGCUCUUUCCCUUGUGCUCCAACGUCAACUCCAAACCCCCUUCCCCAGCAUCCAGGUUCUUACCACCACCAACUGCCUCCAAUACCUAUAGGUUCACCAACCAGCCCUGAGAACUACGACCCUUACCCUCUGCACUCAACCCCCAUCACCAUGCAGUAUAGGCAUCCUGAAGUGCAGCAGUCAUUGCACAGCACUCCAGAAAGGACAUAUUCAAAUCUCUGACUGUACAGUUUUCCACCCCAUCCCCCUGCCCUUUUAGGCUCCCAAAAUGUUGUGUGUCUGUCAAUAAAGUUAUUUUCUUUUCAAUAAAUGAA